GAACCGUCCAAUUAAUUGUUUAUUUGUUUAUUUGUUUGUCGCCUACUUUGAUUUUUUGUUUUUUAAUUAUUAUAAUUUUGUUUAUUUUUUAUUUUCAUUAUCAAUCUUGAUAAAUCGCUACGCAUUUCUCUAUCAUUUUCCGCCAUAAUUUCUCCACAAUCCCCAAACUCAAGAAAAAAGAAAAUGGCGGAUGGUUAUUCCAAAAUCAAAGCAGCUUCCAAAUUCAAAUCAAGAUCCAUCGAUUACUCCGAUCUCUCCUCUCUUCCUCACUCUCUCACUUUCAGUGCCGCCGUCUCCAAUCCCACCCGGACAAAUCGGCCGCAGGAGCCACCGCACGGCCGCUUACCGGAGGAAGACGAAGAAGUAAACGACGACGAAUGCGAUCGGCCCCGUGGAGCCACCACCGCCGCCGCUACACUUUGUCGAAACAGCUCUGUUUCAUCAUCGGUUUCCGGAUUUCAGUCUGCAGUGAAAAGAGCACUAUCGAUGCGGAGAUCUUCAUCCGUAGCGGAACGGUACUGUAGGAUUCACGAUCAGUUCGCGACAUUUGCAUCGCCGAUCGAGGAUGAUGAAAUGGAAGGGGGAGACUGGAAGGAAAGAGGAAAAAUAGGAGGAUCUGAGAUAAGGAAGAAGAAGAAGAAGAAGAACGCGGCAGAGAAGAUCGUUAGAGCAUGUAAGCGAAUUUUUGGACUGUAGUUUUUUUUUUUUUUUUGAAUUUGUUUGUGUUAAUUAAUUAAUCAAAUUCUCUUCUCUGUGCUUUUGUGGUUGAAUAUUGUGUUUUUUGAAGUGAGAAAUGAGAAAGAAUAUGCUGUUUGAUUGAUUUUUGGGAAUUGCGUUAUAGAAAGAAAUGAAAUCUGAGUUUGAUUUUAUAAAUCAAUAAUUACACAUUCGUGUUCGUGUUCGUGUUCGUGUUCUUCCGAAUGCAAAGUGAUAGCGUAGUCAGUCUGCCCAAACACCGUCAAUACCAACUUUUUUACCUUCUCUCUCUCUCUCUCUCUCUCUAAAAAUCCAAUUUGUCAACUUCUCUCGAGGAUUUAAUUCUGAUGAGGUGUAAGAAUGGAAUCUAGAAAGCAACUAUUUGCAAUCAAUUAUCGUCCAUUUUGGAUCACAUCUAUUUUUCUUCAUCUUCUUUGAUUUACGCUCGUUUUAGCUUUUAGAAUUACAUAUUUGGUUAUGUAUUUUCUCCAUUAAAAAAUACCUUUUUAAAAUUAAUCGAAACUAAGAUACUAAAAUAUAUCAAUUUGGUAUUUUAUUUUUUUUAUUUUAGCAAAAUUUACCAUAACAAUCAUAAAUAAAUAAGAUUACUUGGUGGUAUGAGCAAUUUUCCAUACUACCCUUCACUCAUUAAAUUAAAUGCCUAACAAAUUUGUAAGGCCCACGAGAUAAACUAUAGUUUCAAUUUUCAAAAUUUUUCCAUUGAGAUCUUAAUUGAAAGGAUAAAUUAAUUAGUUUUUAAAAUUGAAGUGUUUUAUUGAUAAAUCAUAAGUCACACACCAUUUUUUGUCAAAACAAACCAUGAUCAACAAUGUAAAUUUUAAUAUACAUGUGAGUUUAAUAAUAAAAUUAUUUAGUUUAGGGUUUCGUUUAAUCAUACAACCUCUAAAAUCUAGGGGUGUAAGUUUGAUAUUUUUCUUAAAUAUUAAUUCAAAUUAAUAGAAUCUAAAUACUUUAUAAUUUCUAAUGGGUACCAAACCAACAAGAAAAAGAUAUUUUCAAAAAUAAUAAAAUAUUGAAUAAAAUGUGGCAAAAUCUAUCAAAUUCUAAAAUAACAAGUCUACCAUUAAACAUAAAAAAAAUUACUUUAUGAAAAUAUUUAUAAAUAUAUAGUAAAUUAAAAUAUCAUAUUCUAUUUGUAAAUGGUAAAUUACUAUUUAUGAUAAACACAAAUAGUCCUGGAUGAAUUUUUUUCUGGACAUAUUUAAUGGUUGAAAAACGAAUAAAUAUUUUAACGAAUAAAGUAAGAUAUUAUUGAGAAAAUUAAAUGAUUAGGGAAUUGUAUAUAAGUAAUGAAAGAGGACUAUGUUAUUAAUAAUAUGUAUAUAUACACAUAUGAGUGCCCUAUGGAACAAUCAUAAAAGGAUAUAAUUAAUAAUGAACUCAAAAGCUCUCUUUCAAGCAUAAUAUAAAAAAGAUGGUCAGCUCUUAAAAGGUACAUUGCUUUUUUAGUUCUUCAUUAUCAUAUUAAGAAAAGGUGAUAUAAUUGAUUAUAUAUGACAAAUUCAUUGUUUAUAUAUACAUAUAUAUGUAUUCAUUUAAAAGAGAAUAAAGAUGACAUUUCUAAUUCAAUUCUCAAUUUACACAAUAGACUUACAUAUAUUUAAUAAAAAUUAAAGUUUUAGGUCAAUUAAUGUAGUGGGUGAUAGCAGUAAGCAACUUUGAUUGUAUGUGUUUGAUGAACAUUAAAUGAUGCCAAAGGAAAAGGAAUGCGACUGUUUGGAUGAUGGUGGUUAACAUAUUAAAGAAGCAUUUUUUUUUUAUAUGAAAUAGAAAUAAUUAAAGUGUGCAAUUAUGUUUAAUUCAUGACUCUAAAAUGUAAUUUUGUCAACGUGAAGAUAAUCAUGAUCAGAAAUACCUUUAUACUGACGUAUUUUUUGUUGUUAGAAAUAUCUUUUUUGGCCAUGAUUUCAUUUUGUAUCGACAUUUCUAUUCACGCAACAUGAAAAACGUGGAAAAGGAAAAAACGACGGUGUUUCGACCACGCAACGUGCCCACAUAAAGAAAAGAAAAAUGUAGGUAGAAGCUCUAUCAACGUUUUUCAUAAGAACUGUCAACGUUUUUCUGAAUCGACAAAGACGGAAAUUGUUAUAGUGUUUAGAAAUUUAUAUCUUUCCUCCUCUACUUAGUCUACUAAUUAGGUGAGGUUGUGUGUGUCUCUCUACAAAUUUAUGAUCUCACUCUCUCCACCUAUUCUCACAUAUCUCUUUUUAAUUAACUUUCUCACUUCCAUAUCCUCAAUUUUCCAUCAUCUCUCUCAUUAGCUCUUCAUUCUCUAUCUCACACUCCUUCACAUUCCUCCCCUUCUCUAAUCCUUUUAUAUUUUAUGGUUUCAUUAAAUCAUGUGAUCAAAGGUUGGAUUUUUGGAAUAUGGAUAGUUUUAAUUUUUAUUGUUUAAUCAUAUUCAAUAAAUAGAUAAUAUCAAAAGUUUCAUAAUCACUUUAAUUACUUCUUAAUUACAACUAUAAAAAGACAUUCUUUCACUCAUCUUCAACAAAACAAUAUCUUUUUGGUUUAUUUUUUUAUUUAUGUUCUUCUAUCUCCAAAGUUACAUACAUUUUAAGUAUAUUAAUUAGUGUAAGUUGUUCGGAUUUAUGUUUUAGAAGUCGUAAUUUUAUGAAUGUUAAACUGUUCUAUUAUUAAUAAAUUUACUACAUAUUCUUUUCUUUAUUUAUAUAGAAUCAUCACUGUUUUUUUUAGUAUGUCUGGAAGAUUUGAAUGGUUUACUAGUAACGUUCAUGAUUUUUCUAUUUUGAACUUGUUAUAUAUGUUCUUUUUAACAUAUUACAUUAUGUUUUUAAUUUUCUCAUGUUCCGUUGUUUUGUUCUACAUUUUUUCAUGUAGGAGCCAUUUUGCUUAUUAUGGAAUCAAGCUUGGAUCGUGAUCAACUAUUCUAAUUUAGUCUGUUACACUUAUAUAUGUUUGGAUCCUACUUAACAAGGAUUAUCUCGAGAACAAAGGAUGGGCUUAAGAACAGUUAAAAAAACAAUUAAAUAUGGAAAGAUAUGAAGUAUAUUCUAGGAUAGCAUAAGAACAAGUAAUAAAGUAACAAAUUUUGGUGAAAGUACGAUUUUUUCUUUUGUUUUAUUAAAUGAAAUUUAGGUAUGAAAAUAAAUAGAAAGAACUAUGUCAUCCCUAAACUAAAUCUAUAUUCACAUUUUCACUAAACUAAAAAUUACAAAUGGAGAAAGAUCUAAUAUGUGCUCCAAGUUGGAAUGAUAUCAAUGCCCCAAACCAUUGUACCUGCAAAAUUAUGAAUUUGUGAAAAUGAUGAUAAAAAAAUAAUUACAAAUGUUUGUGGAUAGAAAAUUAAACUCACUUACAUUUACGAAAGUGUCGUUUCAUUGUUGUUCAAGUGACAUCUAGAGCUCCCGUGCAAAUAAUAAUGAUCUUCAUCCUCAAUUAAAUAAUUUUGUUCGACUGCUUCAGUUUUCAUUGUUGGACUAUAAGAAAGAGCAAAGUCUUUCAUUAGGAGCAUUGUUAAAAAACAUUUGAUCAAUAGAAUAAAAGAUCGUUAUAAUAUAAUUUCAUAUAUGUACAGAAUUAAAACACUUUAAAAGAUAAAUGGAAUAAAAGAAAAAAUGAAGAAACUUUUUGAUCGAUAAUAUAUAAAAAAUAAAAAUAUGUUUUAAUUUGUACCUACCAUAUAUUUCAUGGAGUGUUAUCUUUCAACCACGGCUGCAUUUGCAUUGUUGGACGGUAAGAAAAAUUAAAAUAUUUUUUAAGAGCAUUAGGAACGAAUAAAACUCUUAAAUUUCUUAAACCAUAUUGUGUUUUACGUACCAUUCACUAAUAAGUCCCACAUUAUCAUGAUAUUGUUAGCUCUUCAACCUUGUUUCACUUGAAUAGUUUGUCAUUAAAGGUUGAAGACCGGCCUCUGGAAGAAGUUAAGGUGGUUCUUCUAAAUUGUAUUCAUUCAAAAGUUGUUAAGCAAAUCGUCCGGUAUCAAUGAAACAUUCGUUUUCAACCCUAUCAAUGCAAAUUUGUUCUUCCACUCUUCUUCAUUUAGUAUUCGGAUCAUCGACGUGUACUUCCAAUUGUGUUGUUGUGGCUGUCGUUGUGUUUGGCCAAUCAAUACAAGAGAAUGUUUGUUUUGUUGCAGAGAAUGCUCUUUUGUCUUGUUUCAAGAUCUUCUUUCGAAGCAUAAACAAUACAAAAGAGUGAUGUACAACUCCUUCAGGUACAAGAUUAGGGUGAAGAGUGUACUCAUACAUGAUCCAUGAGUAAUUAUUAUUAUGAUCACCAUCCUUCUUCAUUUUAGGAUUUUCGUAAUGAAAUAGUUUAAAAGCACCAACCAAAGUAUUAUUGUGAGAAAACACUUUGGUUGCUUUGCUUUCACCACUCCAUAUAGCUCCAUUGGGACCAACUUUCCUCACAGCACAAGAUUUUUUCUUCUUAAGACAAAUGAAGAAAUGAACAUCCUGACCAUGAACUCCUCUACAUUGUUGCCAUAUUUGAGAAGAUUCUUUUGUAUAAAUGUCUACGACAGGUAACAUAAUUGGUGGUAUGAAACCCCCAACUAUAGUUAUUUUGUGAUAAAGAUAAUAACAUAAUAAUUCUUCAUCGGUCGGACAAAAGAUAUAGCCCAUGGGAAGCAUACUUGUAUUCAUCCUUAAUUAAGGAAAAGAAAAAACCAUUUAAAACAAACUUUAUACUAAAAAGACACAAUUUCUAAUAUAUCUAAAAUGCGAAAAGGUAAGCUCAUGGGAGAUUCGAACUCUGCUUGUAAGGUAUAAGAAGGGAGUAAUUAACCAAAAUUUCAAGAACACGAAAAGAUUCACAAGCUGUAUAUAUAACAUACGAAUAGGAAAAAAAAAAUGAAAAAUUACCAACACAAGGAAGGAUACAAACUCUGGUGGUUAGGUUUCAAAGAUGAGCAUUCAACCAACAAUACAUGAUCAAAUUUCACAUCACACAGUGUAUAAAACAAGGAAAUAUGCAACCCCGAUAUUAGAGUUUCGUUCGUACGGGUUUAACCAACAUUUCAAUAACACGUUCGGAUGAAAGGGAGAGUCACAAAUAUUAUACAUAACAUACAAAAGAAAGAAAUAAUACCUUGGUCAACCUGAAGUAGAAGAAGACGAUGGUGGUGAUGGUGUUCUUCAGCAGAGGAAUUGACGAAGUCGAAUAGACAAUUGAGGGAGUUUGUUUUUGCUUUGGGAUGACGAGAGAGAAAUAACACAUUUAAUUUUUUAUGUACUAAGAACCUAACAUAUACAUUACAUAUAUAGUCCUCUUACAUUAUUAAGGACCAACUCUAGUUAGUUAUGACUUCUUAAUUAAUUAAAAAUGUGACUUUUUUAAAUAUAUAUAUAUUUUUUAUAGGAUAAAUUAGCGGCUGAAUUGAGUUGACACACAUUCUCAACUCGUAUUAUUAUUAUUUUUCUUUUAUUUUCAAUCCAACGAUCCUUUAGCUUUCUAAACAACUGUUUACCUCUUACUUCGUUGUUUAGUUUCUUUUACCUUCAAACGAUAUUUACUUCUUACACGAUCGACUAACUUUGCAUAUGACUGUUUAACUUCUUACACCAUCGUUCAACAAAAUACUCUUACGAUAUUAAUAAUUAAUUCUAGUUCAUUAUUUUAGUUAUAUUUUUAACUCUAGUUAAUAAUUUUUAACUCAUAUUUUUUUUUAAAAAAUGAUAAUACAUAAAGUUUCACAUUUUAUUCGUUUUAAAAUAAAAUAAAAUAAAAUUUUAUAUUUUAAUUUUCAAUUAUAAAAAUAUUUUCUUACCUUUAACCCCUAAUCUCUCGCAUUUUUUUCCCCUUUCCUCUCAUCCCCUUUUCCUCCUUUCAUUAUCACAUUUCCUAUCAAAAUGCUUCCUCAAGCGAUCUUCUUUCUCCCUCUUCUUCAUUUUCUUCAAACCUCUUUUCCAAAAUUUGAGAAUGGUUCCAUCUUGGGUUUCUCUUCUUUCCCCACUCGUAAGUUAAUGGAGUUUGUCUAGUGGUUAUUAUUUUGCAAUCCAGUUUUAUGCAAACUCAUUACAUAGGAUAUCCUAACCACUUUGCCCUAACUACUGCUCCUUCUCAAGAACUUAUGCUCUAAUACCACUUGUCACUUCGCUCCCCAAAGUCGCUCAUCACAACCAAGUGGAAAUGUGUCUCCUAGACCCUUAUCGCAUACUCCUCGCACGGAAGCGUGCUAAAUGCCUAGUAAGCGAAACAACUUAACCCUAAACGCCUAGGAUACAACACCUUACCCUUAACUAAUUACAUAUCCUUGAUACCACAUUCUCUUUAUAAUGAUCUUUUUGUCCAAAGUUCACUUUCAUGCUUUACACAUGUCUUCUCCCCAUUUUGCAUCGUUCUACAACCAAUCUCACACUCGACACGUGGUCCGAACAUCAAUGGUGAUUUGACUUCUCAUUGAGAUGCACACUUCAUUUUCUUGGAAAGCCAAACUCCCUUAAAUAACCUGACCCUCUUUAUCUUCUCAAGAAGCUGCAAAUAUCUUCUCUCCUCUUUAUCUUCUUGAGUGGUCAAGCCAUCUUGACAAGACAUCUUCUCACCUUCUUCCUAGGUGUAGGCACUUCUUCUCACGUUACUUUGCUAAACGCCUAACUCUUGGUAUCUAGGAUUGACCUAUUUUUGCCACUCAUCCUUAUCGCGUCACUUAAUUCGGCAUGAUGUAACUUAGGCAGGUAUUUCUCUUUGCAUUACCUAUUUCUCCCCUUUUGCGUGCUUUCUCGUGAACACACCACACUUUCAUCCAAAUGGUUUCUCCACAAUGAUUUCUCUCAACCAAACCUCAUUUCUUUGAGUUGGUCAUCACACAUAUUCCUUUUUGUGAAAUAGAUAUUCUAUUGUUAGAAGUCUCUUCUUUUGGCAUCCUUGCCGCAAUGUCUUUAUCGAGUUGGCGGUACACGAUCAGAGCUUCACAGCCCAAAUCCAAGCUCAACAAGUAAAUGGGCCAAAGUUCACCUAAAACCCAUGAAAAUUCUCUAUAAAUAGAGACAUUUCCAUUCAUUUCGGAGAGGUUGGAGUUAAAGGAAGAAUUGAAGCUUUGAAGAGGUGAAUAUUCAAACUUCUAAAAGCUCUCAAGAAGUGCAAAUUCUUAUCAACCUCGAGAUCACUAUCUUUUGAAAGAUUGAAGACUUGGAAGAUUAAACUUUCCUUGAGUUCUAGAAGAUUGAACCUCAAAUAGACUUGCAACUAUAACUUUCUAAAGAUCGAAGAAAUAAAAGUUCUAAGUUUUAACUUGUAUUCGAGAGAAAACAUCAAAUGAGUAAAUAUUAGAGACUAUAUCCACUAUAUAAAUCAAUAUACAAAAUUCAAUUUCAUAAAUUAUAUUGUUUCAGAAAUCUCGCGUGGACAAUGGACGUUAACAACUUAACAAUAUCAAAAGAAUGAAAGGAAAACAAAAUUGGGGUGUGAUGGAAACAAUUCAUUAAAUGCCCAACGCAACCAUUAUAAAUGAUAUUAAAUAUUAAUAAAAUACAUAUUUGUUCAUAAAAGAAAAUUAGUCCCAAAAUUAAGAGAAAAUUGAGUAAUGAAAAAAAAAUCUAUAUUGUUUUAUAACUAAGUUAUACCUCUAAAUCUUUCAAUCUUUCUGCUUAAAAUAUUAGCAAACAAGAAAAUAUAAAGGAUCUUAUAUGUUAACUUAUAAACAUAUUUUAUUUAUUGAUGUUUUAUCAUUUGAAUAUUUUAAAAAUAAUUCUUUAUAUAAAAUAUGAAUUAGGUCUUUACAAUAUUUAAUAGAAAAAUGGUCACAACUAUUGGACCUACAAUUUUGAUUCUUAUUACUUCAAAUAUUUAAGUUUACUUUAUAUAUAUAAUUAAGUAAUUAAUUGUAUUGUGUUUUAGACAAUCCAUGAAUAACGAAAGUAAUUGAUAAUUUUUAAAAGGAGUAGUUACAAAUUUAGCAAUUAUAUUCAAAAUAAUUAAGUAUAUAGCAAUAUUUUAACAAAUUUAUAAAUAUAACAAAACUUAUCAAAUUCUAUCAAUGAUAUAAGUCUAUCAUCUAUAAACCAUGUUGCAAAUAUUCGUCUUCACCGAUAGACCAUACAAAGUCUAUCAGCGAUACAAGUUUAUAAGUGAUAAUUUUACUAUAUUUGCAAUUUUUUUAAAAUAUUGCUAUAUCCUUAAUUAUUAUUCCUAAAAUGGUCAUCAAUUGAAAUUUUCCUUUUUAAAAUAACUAUUAUUAAGAACGAUAAAAAGAGUGACAUUCUUAGCCUAUCCUGAUUGGUUAAAGGAUUAUAUCUUUAUUCGAUUUUGGUUACCGUUGGGUCUUUGUUGACAUCUCCAAAAUCAUACUUUGGCAAACAUAAGCCUAGCUUAACUUAAUCGUGGAUAAAAGAUCUCAAAUUUUAAAAGAUCUCAAAUUUAAAUCUUUCCACUGAAUUUAUUACAAUUCCUUUCCAAAAACAUUAUUCUUUAAACCAUUUGCAUUCAUAAAAUUAUUAUUAAUAUAGUUAAUUUUUUAAGAUCUAAGAAACAUACAGACAAUCAUGUUUGAUAAUCUCAUGUAUUAGAAGAAGAACAGAGAACCAGCCACAAGUUGGCAGGACAUAAGAACCUUAGUUUUAGUCUCGAUGGACAAAGACAACAAAACGAAACAAACAGUGAAAGAAAUUGUUAAAUCUCUAAUCUCCAAUGUAAAGUCCCAAACCCCUUGGUAGGAUCAAUAAAGCAAUUGAUAAUUUUAAUCAAUAUCUGACAGUAAAAGAGAAAUGAAAAUAGUUGUAACUCCCAUUUAAAGGGUGAGUCAAAGACCUUCACAAAUUGCCAUAGCCUCCACACAUAAAGAGGUGUGUAGUAGAGAUUUGUGCACCCAUAUGUUGUUGCACAAGAAAUGCUGACCAUUUGAAUCCACUACCAUAGCUAAAAAUAUUCUCCCCAUCUUUAUAAGAAGUGUCAAGAUACGUAAUAAAAAUUAUUAGGGUUCCAAAAGGCAUGAGAAUAAUGAUCUCUCUCGACAACUAUCCAUGUGAUUGAAGACAAGACCUAUAAUAUUUUACCCAAGCACCAGGGAAAGCUAACAGAUGGGAUUGACUUUGUGCGAAAUAAUUUAUUUGUUCUAGAGAUAGACUUCAUUCUCUCGAACCAGAAAGAAAAAAAAACUGUUCAGUCUUUUCCAAUGAUGAAUUUGCAUUGAGAUAAGUAGUAAACACUUUAAACAUUCCCUAGUAAACAUCAAUCGAGUUUACUUAGCUAAUCAAUAGACUUGAUGCUUUGAAAUAUUAUUUUUGACUUUACAAAUUCGAUAACUCCACUAAAAUGUAGGUUUCUGAUUGUGUAUUAAGUCUUUCGUUAUAGAUAAUAAGAACUUAUUAUUAUUAUUGACUAAAGAAGUAUAGGCUGUAUUUGCUCUUUAGGAAUACCAUACAAAACUUUGCCGUCAACUCAAACAUAUCCUAACCUAUUUUGUAAAGAUGGCUUUGCAUUGUUCUAAACUUGUAAACCUCAACCUACGUUUUGACUUUUUCAUAAUUCCAAUGAUUUUUUAUGUUUUCAUAUAUGAAAUUCUAUACAAAAUAUAAUUAUCAUCUAGACGUAUUCACACAAUGUAUCUUUUAUCUACAGCACCAUAAUAAAAAAGAAAUAGGGAAAUUAAACAAAUAAUAAAAAAGAAAUAGGGAAAUUAAACGAAUCAAUAAAAAUUGAAAACGCAAGAAAUCAUAAUCACACACAAUAUUUUCACUCCUCGUCCCCAAUUACAAAAUUGGAAAGACAUAAAAAAAAAAAAAGUAUUGUUGUUUGUGAAGUAUUGUAAAAGCAAAUUAUUAAGUAUGAAGUUGGUGAUUGGUUUAUUUUCUUAUAUAAAAAGAAAAAGAUGGAUAAAUUGUGUAAUAUUUAUUUAGAAAAAGAUAAAAGAAUGGAAGGAGGCUAAAAUUGUAGUUUGAGCAAAGUGUAUCCGAGGGAAGGGUAGCGGCUAAAGAGGGGUGGGGGUUUUUUCUUUUCUUUUUCCUAUUGAUUGGUGCUGACGAACAUUCAAAUAAACAAUUUCUCGAAGGGUAAACAAAAUCUGUUAUUUGACAUUUUCAGUUGGAUUUUUUAUGAUGAUUUAUCCAUUUUUGGAUUAAAUUUGUUUCCUCAUAUCUCUCUCCUUCUUCGUUCUUCUCUUUUCCCUUUUGCAGUUUUCUGAACAACAAAACCAUACCCAUUCCAUCUCUCUUCUUUUUCUUUCCAUUUUAACUCUCUAAUUUCAAUCUCUUUUCAAAACCCCAUUACGCAUUUCUUCCGUUUCAAUCAUCAAUGCCCCCCAUUCCAUUAAUGGCUUCCGAAGCCGGUGGCUGUGGCAGUGGCGGAGGAGAUGAAACCCCAUCAUUGUCUCCCAGAAGCAAGUUGAAGUUUCUUUGUAGUUAUGGCGGCAAGAUCCUCCCUCGCCCCACAGAUGGCCAUCUCAAGUAUGUUGGCGGCGAGACACGCGUCAUCGCUAUGCCACGCGAUAUCAAAUUCCCAGGUUUCUGUUCUUCUAUUUUCUCGCUUUUUUUCUUUUUUGUUUUUUAUUCGAUUGUGAUUCUGAUUAUGUUUUCUUGAUGGGUUUUUAACUUAAUGAUGAUUCUGUUGCUUUUGAUCGAUAUAUCUGAAUUUCUGUCUGUAUAAGGUUUGAAUUACAUUGAAGAAUUUAGAGUUUUGUUCAUUUCAUCUCAAUUAGGAGAAAUUCUAUGUGGGGUGGGAUCAAUGGGAUUGACUAUAAUCUACUUGUUAAAUGUAUAAGAGAUGAUUUAAAUUUUGUAUUUGGAAUAUCAAAUGAUCAUUAGGGGUAACUCCAUUGAUGGUUUGUUUCUCUGGAAAAGGAUCUCUGGCAAGUUUGUGAAACAAAUCGUAUAUAGAUAUGUGAUGUUGAUCAUAUUUAAGUUUGGUGAUCUUUCUAGAGCGUUCAAUCUAUUAUUCCUUAAAUGGCAACGAAGAUUAUCAAUCAAACCUUUCGUUUUGUGUUUUUUUUUUAUGUUCUACUCAAUCUUGUUUAGAAUCAAGCAAACUUUAUAUUCCUUGAAAAUUUUAUCACUUUCUACUCUAGGAUAAAGUUUAAUGUAUUCAAAAUACAUUUAGAUCUUCGUUUGUGUAAUUUUGACAUGUUCAACAGAUCUAAUGAAGAAGCUGACUGCUCUAUUUGAUGGAGAUAUGGUCCUAAAGUAUCAGUUAGUUCCUGAAGAUCUUGAUGUUUUGGUCUCUGUAAGGUCUGAUGAGGAUUUAAAGCAUAUGCUUGAUGAAUAUGAUCGCCUCGAAAGUGAAGGAACUCCUAAGCUUCGGUGUUUCUUAUUUCCUUCAAACCCAAUUGUCAUGGAGGCUCAACCAUUCUCCUCAGAUCCCCACCAAAUCGAGCAACGUUAUCUUGAAGCUAUCAAUGGCAUUGUACGGUCUGGCUCCUCUGCAAGUGCAAAACUCUCCCCUACUACCGCUAACCGUCCUACAUUCAGUAUUUCAUCUGCUUGUUCAUCUCCAAAAUCAUCUUCUCCAGAUGCCCAAACGGCUGAAUCUGUGGCCCAAGAAACGUUCUCUUGGAAUAGCAUGAAACUUAGUCGACCUCCUAUGCAUAAGGUCCAUAGCUCUCCUAGCCUUUGCAGUUUUAACAACCUUCAACCUCCCACCAAUGUCAUUCCAGUUAGUAAACACCAUAUUCAGCAACGCCAUUACCACUAUCAACAAAACCAGCUCCAGCAGCAGCAGCAGCAGCAGCAGCAGCAGCAGCAUCAUAAUAGCUACCAAUCCUCAAGAAUUCCACCAGAGUUUAGCAGAUCUAAUGCCCCUGAAAGAGUUCCUAUGAACCUUUCACCAUCACCACCUAUAGGUAGGUCCGACUUUGGAAGGAGUCCGAUGGGACCUAAUGUUAGCCACCACACAUCUAGUAGACAGCAAAGAGGAAUUGGAUUGUGGAAUAAAUAUGGAUACUCUGAUGAGUAUCCAGCGAAUGGUUGUGGUAGGGUCGAUAGAACAGAGAAUAAUCAAUGGAGCCCGAGAAAGCCACCUUGGGAGUAACAAAUACACAGUUUGUCUA
rnacentral:lncRNA from 1 species